UUUUUUUCAGUUGAUACAUUUUUCUGUGAUAAAAAUGAUUAAUAUUUAUCUAAUUAGAUAAAACAGAUGUUUGCAAUGUUUUCCUGUUUCUGAACAUAAUUUGUAGUUGAAGUAAGUAAUAAAUUGUGAUUUCUAUUUUAUUGAAUUUACAGGGCGUAUCAAAAAACCUUUAAAAUCGCUGUAAUAUCACGUCGCAAUUUUAGUUCUGUGAUAACAUGGUAUUUUGGGGCUUCUGCUGAUUCCCACCCCGACAGAUUUGGCCUUCACUUUAACAACCGAUGGUCUUUGACUCAUCACCCAAUCAGAGUCCUCCAAUACUGACACCGAGGAGCCAAUGGGAUCCAAGCAGGUUAAUAAUAAUAUAAUAAUAAUAACAACUCUAUUGCUUGUUGUAUAAAAAGUUGCGUAGUUCAAUAAUCAUUUGCUGUUUCUGUUUCUGCGGGUAAACAUUAAAAAUCACAAUACUGUCAUCUGGAUAAACAAAAACAAAACAAUACAAAUCUGAUAUGGCAACCACUAUAACACUAGUCUGUUGCUAUGGGAACAAAUAGACGGGCGGCUAUGUUGCUGGGGGGAAAUGCAGAAGAUAUACUGGGGGUGAUUUCUGUCAGUUUGUCCGUCACUGUCCCUCCACAAAGCCCUCGUGAAUCAGUGAUAUGAUACAAGAUAAAAUAUGACAUAAGAUGCUUUAAGGACUCGGAGCAGCGCUGUAAAGCUUAUGACAUUUAGUGGGAUCAAACUGUGCUGAGAUGAUUUUAAGAUUUCACAGGUUUCCUCCCUAACAUCUAGUAGGGGUGAAAUGAUUGUGCGCGGUGUGAUACAGUAGGUUUUGCAGUGCAGGGGGAAGCAAACAUGAAAUCAGGUUUUUGUGUGUGUGUGUGUGUGUGUGUGUGUGUGUGUGUGCAUGU